rnacentral:rRNA from 1 species
UACGUAGGGUGCGAGCGUUGUCCGGAAUUAUUGGGCGUAAAGGGCUCGUAGGCGGUUUGUCGCGUCGGGAGUGAAAACCCAGGGCUUAACCCUGGGCUGGCUUCCGAUACGGGCAGACUAGAGGUAUGCAGGGGAGAACGGAAUUCCUGGUGUAGCGGUGAAAUGCGCAGAUAUCAGGAGGAACACCGGUGGCGAAGGCGGUUCUCUGGGCAUCACCUGACGCUGAGGAGCGAAAGUGUGGGGAGCGAACAGG